rnacentral:rRNA from 1 species
CAAGUCGAACGGGAAAGCUCCCUUCGGGGAGUGAGUAUAGUGGCGAACGGGUGAGUAACGCGUGGGAAACCUGCCCUUAAGUGGGGGAUAACAGGCCUAACGGCCUGCUAAUACCGCAUGUGUCCCCNGGAAUCGCAUGGUUCCGGGAAGAAAGGUGGCCUCUCCUUGGAAGCUAUCGCUUAAGGAUGGUCCCGCGUCCCAUUAGCUUGUUGGUGGGGUAAUGGCCUACCAAGGCUACGAUGGGUAGCCGGCCUGAGAGGGUGUCCGGCCACACUGGGACUGAGAUACGGCCCAGACUCCUACGGGAGGCAGCAGUCGAGAAGCUUCGGCAAUGGGCGAAAGCCUGACCGAGCGACGCCGCGUGAGCGAUGAAGGUCCUAUGGAUUGUAAAGCUCUGUCAGAUUGGGAAGAAAACUUCGCGAUUAAUACCCGCGAAGCUUGACGGUACCAUCAGAGGAAGCACCGGCUAACUCCGUGCCAGCAGCCGCGGUAAUACGGAGGGUGCGAGCGUUGUUCGGAUUCACUGGGUAUAAAGGGUGCGUAGGCGGCCUCGUAAGUCAGGGGUGAAAUAUGACGGCUCAACCGUCAAACUGCCCCUGAAACUGCAAGGCUUGAGUCCGGGAGAGGAAGGUGGAAUUCCUGGUGUAGCGGUGAAAUGCGUAAAUAUCAGGAGGAACACCGGUGGCGAAGGCGGCCUUCUGGUCCGGUACUGACGCUGAGGCACGAAAGCUAGGGGAGCGAACAGGAUUAGAUACCCUGGUAGUCCUAGCCGUAAACGAUGGGCACUAGGUGUCGGAGGAGUCUACCCCUUCGGUGCCGCAGCUAAUGCCUUAAGGUGCCCCACCUGGGGAGUACGAUCGCAAGGUUGAAAUUCUAAGGAAUUGACGGGGGCCCGCACAAGCGUUGGAGCAUGUGUUGUAAUUCGAUGCAACGCGAAGAACCUUACCUGGGCUUGACAUGCAGGGGACAGGUGCAGAAAUGUACCCUUCUUCGGACCCCUGUGCAGUUGCUGCAUGGCUGUCGUCAGCUCGUUUCGUGACAUGUUGGGUUAAGUCCCGCAACGAGCGCAACCCCUGUCUUCAGUUGCCAUCAGUUCGGCUGGGGACUCUGGAGAGACUGCCGGUGACAAACCGGAGGAAGGUGGGGACGACGUCAAGUCAUCAUGGCCCUUACGCCCAGGGCUACACACGUGCUACAAUGGUCGGUACAAUGGGCCGCAAUACCGUGAGGUGGAGCGAAUCCCAA